rnacentral:misc_RNA from 1 species
UAAAUCUAAACAAUACAAAAUGAAAAAUCAUAGGUUAGAAAAUAAAGAU